rnacentral:rRNA from 1 species
GGCCACACUGGAACUGAGACACGGUCCAGACACCUACGGGUGGCAGCAGUCGAGAAUCAUUCACAAUGGGGGAAACCCUGAUGGUGCGACGCCGCGUGGGGGAAUGAAGGUCUUCGGAUUGUAAACCCCUGUCAUGUGGGAGCAAAUUAAAAAGAUAGUACCACAAGAGGAAGAGACGGCUAACUCUGUGCCAGCAGCCGCGGUAAUACAGAGGUCUCAAGCGUUGUUCGGAAUCACUGGGCGUAAAGCGUGCGUAGGCUGUUUCGUAAGUCGUGUGUGAAAGGCGCGGGCUCAACCCGCGGACGGCACAUGAUACUGCGAGACUAGAGUAAUGGAGGGGGAACCGGAAUUCUCGGUGUAGCAGUGAAAUGCGUAGAUAUCGAGAGGAACACUCGUGGCGAAGGCGGGUUCCUGGACAUUAACUGACGCUGAGGCACGAAGGCCAGGGGAGCGAAAGGGAUUAGAUACCCCUGUAGUCCUGGCAGUAAACGGUGCACGCUUGGUGUGCGGGGAAUCGACCCCCUGCGUGCCGGAGCUAACGCGUUAAGCGUGCCGCCUGGGGAGUACGGUCGCAAGAUUAAAACUCAAAGAAAUUGACGGGGACCCGCACAAGCGGUGGAGUAUGUGGCUUAAUUCGAUGCAACGCGAAGAACCUUACCUGGGCUUGACAUGUAAUGAACAACAUGUGAAAGCAUGCGACUCUUCGGAGGCGUUACACAGGUGCUGCAUGGCCGUCGUCAGCUCGUGUCGUGAGAUGUUUGGUUAAGUCCAGCAACGAGCGCAACCCCUGUUGCCAGUUACCAGCACGUGAAGGUGGGGACUCUGGCGAGACUGCCCAGAUCAACUGGGAGGAAGGUGGGGACGACGUCAGGUCAGUAUGGCCCUUAUGCCCAGGGCUGCACACGUACUACAAUGCCCAGUACAGAGGGGGCCGAAGCCGCGAGGCGGAGGAAAUCCUAAAAACUGGGCCCAGUUCGGACUGUAGGCUGCAACCCGCCUACACGAAGCCGGAAUCGCUAGUAAUGGCGCAUCAGCUACGGCGCCGUGAAUACGUUCCCGGGUCUUGUACACACCGCCCGUCACAUCAUGGAAGCCGGUCGCACCCGAAGUAUCUGAAGCCAACCGCAAGGAGGCAGGGUCCUAAGGUGAGACUGGUAACUGGGAUGAAGUCGUAACAAGGUAGCCGUAGGGGAACCUGCGGCUG